ACUUUUAUAGUUUAAUAUAGAACAGGAGAUUUUCUAUCUUCAAGUCUCCUCAGGAGUAAAAGUA
rnacentral:tRNA from 1 species